GGGAGCCGAGGAGCUCCUGCUGGGCUCUGCCAGGGAAGAAGCCGCAGUAGGAGCCCCUACGUAGGCCCUGCAGGAGGCCUGGGGUUCAGGAAAGGGCCUGCUGACCAUCCGGUGCAGGGAAAGGAGUCCAGCUCUGGCCUCUGCCCCUCAGCUCCACCUCCUGCAUUCCUAGGAGUUCUCCAGAGGAUCUGAUGGGAGCUCAGAACCGGUCCCAACAGUCCCUCCACCCUUCAUGAACAGGGGCUGAAAAAUGUGGUCUGCUCUGAUAAGGAUUUGCGUCAGGCUACUGGCUGCUCAGCAGCCGAGAAGAGCAAGCCUCCAGGCCUCUGCACGCGUGCCUUCUGCCCG
rnacentral:lncRNA from 1 species